UGCAAUUGGUGAUCACAUGCCAUGUAGUGC
rnacentral:piRNA from 1 species